rnacentral:rRNA from 1 species
UACGUAGGGUGCGAGCGUUGUCCGGAAUUAUUGGGCGUAAAGGGCUCGUAAGCGGUCUGUCGCGUCGGGAGUGAAAACUCAGGGCUUAACCCUGAGCCUGCUUCCGAUACGGGCAGACUAGAGGUAUGCAGGGGAGAACGGAAUUCCUGGUGUAGCGGUGGAAUGCGCAGAUAUCAGGAGGAACACCAAUAGCGAAGGCAGCUCGCUGGGACGUUACUGACACUGGAGGCGCGAAAGCGUGGGGAGCGAACAGG